AGAGUUUGAUCAUGGCUCAGAUUGAACGCUGGCGGCAGGCCUAACACAUGCAAGUCGAGCGGUAGAGAGAAGCUUGCUUCUCUUGAGAGCGGCGGACGGGUGAGUAAUGCCUAGGAAUCAGCCUGGUAGUGGGGGAUAACGUUCGGAAACGGACGCUAAUACCGCAUACGUCCUACGGGAGAAAGCAGGGGACCUUCGGGCCUUGCGCUAUCAGAUGAGCCUAGGUCGGAUUAGCUAGUUGGUGAGGUAAUGGCUCACCAAGGCGACGAUCCGUAACUGGUCUGAGAGGAUGAUCAGUCACACUGGAACUGAGACACGGUCCAGACUCCUACGGGAGGCAGCAGUGGGGAAUAUUGGACAAUGGGCGAAAGCCUGAUCCAGCCAUGCCGCGUGUGUGAAGAAGGUCUUCGGAUUGUAAAGCACUUUAAGUUGGGAGGAAGGGUUGUAGAUUAAUACUCUGCAAUUUUGACGUUACCGACAGAAUAAGCACCGGCUAACUCUGUGCCAGCAGCCGCGGUAAUACAGAGGGUGCAAGCGUUAAUCGGAAUUACUGGGCGUAAAGCGCGCGUAGGUGGUUUGUUAAGUUGGAUGUGAAAUCCCCGGGCUCAACCUGGGAACUGCAUUCAAAACUGACUGACUAGAGUAUGGUAGAGGGUGGUGGAAUUUCCUGUGUAGCGGUGAAAUGCGUAGAUAUAGGAAGGAACACCAGUGGCGAAGGCGACCACCUGGACUAAUACUGACACUGAGGUGCGAAAGCGUGGGGAGCAAACAGGAUUAGAUACCCUGGUAGUCC
rnacentral:rRNA from 1 species